rnacentral:misc_RNA from 1 species
GAUGAAGAACGUAGCGAAAUGCGAUAAGUAAUGUGAAUUGCAGAAUUCGGUGAAUCAUCGAAUCUUUGAACGCAUCUUGCGCUCCUUGGUAUUCUGAGGAGCAUGCCUGUUUGAGUGUCAUUAAAUUCUCAACUACACUGACUUUGAAUUGGUGUGGCUUGGAUUUGGGGGGAAAAUUGUUGUGGGCUUUUUGUAUAGUCUGCUCCCCUGAAAUUGAUUAGCGGUACCUUUGUGGAACUGUCUACAGGUGUGAUAAUUAUCUACAUCUUAGACAUCUGCUGGAAUGCUGCUUUCUAAACCUUACUUGUAUGACAAUCUUGACCUCAAAUCAGGUAGGACUACCCGCUGAACUUAAGCAUAUCAAUAAGCGGAGGA